CUACGGACUUGAUUGUAUUGAGCCUUGGUAUGGAAACCUGCUAAGUGGUAACUUCCAAAUUCAGAGAAACCCUGGAAUUGAAAAAGGGCAAUCCUGAGCCAAAUCCGUGUUUUGAGAAAACAAGGGGUUCUCGAACUAGAAUACAAAGGAAAAGGAUAGGUGCAGAGACUCAAUGGAAGCUGUUCUAACGAAUCGAGUUAAUUACGUUGUGUUGUUAGUGGAAUUCCUUCUAAUUCUAAAUUAGAGAAAGUGG
rnacentral:ncRNA from 1 species